rnacentral:rRNA from 1 species
UGGGUCCUACGGGGCGCAGCAGUGGGGAAUUUUGGACAAUGGGCGCAAGCCUGAUCCAGCUAUUCCGCGUGUGGGAUGAAGGCCCUCGGGUUGUAAACCACUUUUGUAGAGAACGAAAAGACACCUUCGAAUAAAGGGUGUUGCUGACGGUACUCUAAGAAUAAGCACCGGCUAACUACGUGCCAGCAGCCGCGGUAAUACGUAGGGUGCGAGCGUUAAUCGGAAUUACUGGGUGUAAAGGGUGCGCAGGCGGUUGAGUAAGACAGAUGUUAAAUCACC